GCCAGGCACAGUGGUCUAUGCCUGUAAUCACAGCUACUUGGAGGCUGAGACAGGAGGAUCACAAAUUUGAGGAACUUAGCAAGGCCCUAAGCAAUUUAGUGAGACCCUGUCUCAA
rnacentral:sRNA from 1 species